rnacentral:tRNA from 164 species
GGAGGGGUGGCCGAGCGGCUUAAGGCAGCGGUCUUGAAAACCGCCGAUGGGAAACCAUCCGAGAGUUCGAAUCUCUCCUCCUCCGCCA